ensembl:snoRNA
UGGGAGUGAUGAAAACUCAAGAGCCUGACCAACGUUAUGUGUGGAGGCCAAAGCUGAUUUAAUGAGCCUGAUCC